GUUGAGCAUCCCUGCUUUAGGGUAUUUUAUUUUUAUUAAAUUUUUUGUAAAUCUGUAAAUUAUCCGAAUGCUAAUAGUAUACAAAUCAAUAUUCACAUUACAAGCAUCCUCAUUCCGGUCGAAAUCACUGAGGAUGGGAUUUUACUGCACAGGCCACACACAGGGGCUUUUAAUCGAGAAAACAUUACAUAAUCUGGUAUUACUGUACUUUUUUAUGUUUCUAGAUUGUUUUAACCCUAUGUGUGACAUUCCUACUUCUAACAAUUCAGACAGAUUUUUACACAGGUAAGCUUUGUCUGACAAUUGCUGGAUAAUAUAAUGAACAUUGGGUUAUGGAUUUUUUUUUUUGGCCAUGUAUGUUAUGCAAAGCAGCUCUCCUCGGUAAGGAAGAAAACGGUCUGUAUUUCUAUGAACUGACACUGGAGGUAACUACUGCCUAAGUCAAUGUCUGACCAUAGAAGAGCCGUGGAACAUGACUAGGGAUUUAGCCAAGCCAAAGUCUCCUCCAAAAGGAAAAGACACUAGAAAGACUGUUCACUUCCCUCUGGUGGAGAGAUCAUUUGCAUAAUUUUUCCCAGGAAGCGUUGCCUGUAACACGUCAUACCAGUUGGGUCUCUUUAAUCAGAACCCCUUAGAGGUGGCCAUAUACUUAAUAGGCUUGGUAAACAGCUGGUUCCAAAAAGUGGAUUUUUCUUAAUUCGUGUCUGUGAAUACUUUUUGGGACACUUGUGUAUGUAUGGCACCAUAAUGUAACUUAACUGGUCCAGAACAUAAUAUAUUUUGGAGUCAGUGAGCAGACUGAACUUGAUGCCCCUCAAUCCUCUGUAAUGUUACCCAUUGGAAAGGAAUUGUAAGUCUGUUUUUUGAAAUCUCUUAUUUUUGGUGGAUCUAGCAUGUAAGACAAGUCUGCAAGUCGUUUGCAAGUUGAGGAAACUUCUUGACUUUUCAGUCUGGGAUUUGAUGUUUUUGGAACUUACAGUUUAAUGGUGGAUGGAGUAAUUCAUUAGGUAAAUUAAUAUAGCAUUCUGGUAUGGCUGUGUACCUAAAUGGUCAAUAUCGCUCUACUGCUGCACCAGUGCUCCUUAGUUUACACAAGUGGGGUUCUUAAUACUAGAGGGGAAUAAUCUGGAGCAGGGGGGAAGAUAAGGCCACGUUCACAGUAGUGUUGUGAAUCCCGUAGCGUGAUCAGAUGGGCUGAUCUGUUGGUCAGACGAAAACCGCUGCAUGCAGGGUUAUCUGUUGGGCCAAAAACUGGCAUUUAUGCCGGAAAAGCAGCAUGGUGACCGGCAGAUCCCAUUAUAAUCCAUGGGAAUCCAGUGGUACACUGUCGUAUCUGGAUUUCAAACGUAACUGUGAAUGGGGCCUAAGGCGGAUACUAAACAGUAUGGAGGUUUCCUGGUCAUAGGCAUGAGGCCAAUUUAGCACAUCCAUAAUACAGCUGCAAUUUGGCAACCUUUUUAUGGGCUGCAGCAGAACUACCACGGGUUCUACCAAAGUAGACCGAUCACAGUCGAAUCUUAUACUGAUCCAGGAAUCGGUUGUUUAGAACCAUGACGGCUAUAUCAGGGUUGUGUGAAAACUGCUUUAGAUGUUAGAUUGGUAGGCCCAUGGUUAUGAAAGUGGACUUGAGUGCUGACACAUAGCAGUCAGGGCAGUUGUAAUUUGAUGGAAUAUAUAUAUAUAUAUGAUCCAUGACACAGAGGGGGGGGGGGAAUCACAGAAGAGAACCUCAUGGGCUGGGUCAAUAAGGGGGAUGGUCUAUUUUCACUUUUAUUUGCAUAUCCACUACAGUAAGCUGGAAUAUAGUCAUGUAUUUGUUAGAAUCAGGUCAUCCAUUCUCUAACUCUUCUUCCUUUAGCUCUAGUAUAUUUCUUCUGGUCCCAUAUAACCGGUACUGUCAUUUUAGUGAAUAACCUUUUUAUUAUUUUUAUUGACAUUUGCAUGCUAAAGUCUGAGAAGCAAGAAUAAUUUAUUCAGGACGUUAUAUAUUGCCGCAUACGAAAAAGUGAAAUCCUCUUCUUUUUUUAUUUUAUUUUUUAUUUACCUGACUGAUGCUUUUGUGUUCGAGUACAGAGUAUGUUUUGUAAGAACCUGACAUCCAUUUAUCACUUAUUUAUAAUGAACACGGUUUUUAUUGGACUCAAACUCUUCUACGACUGUGAAAAUGUAUGCUUUUCUUGUAAAAAAAAUAAAUAAAUAAAAAUAACUCCACACAUUAGGAUACUGGACUUGUCGGAGGGGGCGAUGUCUUUGGAAUGGGGGGGAUAAGACUGUACCGUCAUUGCCCCUAACAUUUAUUUUGGAGCUCUGUAUCCAGGCGUCUCACAAGGGGUUUUAAUAUUGGCACAAAAGAAAAAUGGAAUAAAAGAUAUGUGAGUGCAACUUUUCUUGUCUUGUUUGAUUUUAUUGAAUUACACAGACUUCAUUUCUACCGAAUGACUGCUAAAACAUGGCUGCUUUCUUCCAGAAAUUACGGAUGCAACACAGAUACAUUGGUGUCUGAUCCAGGUUAGAUUUUCACUGAUAAGCAUCUCUUAUCAGUGAAAAUCUUACACAAAUCAAACACCGAUGUAUCUGUGUUGUAUCCAUGAUUUUUACGGACCCGAAGACUUCUUCAGAUUUUAGCUGAGCAGUGUCCGUGUAACACGGAUGACACGCGGUGCGCAAAAAAGAGGACCAAACACAGAUUCCGGUUGAAACAGACAGAUUAAUUUUUUUCAUGGAUGUCAAACAGACGCAAAAAUGUGAACGACGGCUAAGAGAGGGGUCAACAGACUGCUGCAUGCUCCUCGGCAUCCUCCUGAAUUAGGGCCGGAAUGUGAUCAAAGGAGUAUGCUGAAAAAAGACUUUGUAGCGGCGUCAUUGUAGUCAUGGGCCCCAAACUGGAGAUAGUAAUGAAGUUUUUACCUGCGCAAAACAAUGCGUUUUGGGACUGCACCAGUCCCUUCCUCAGGUCAAUAACAACUUAGUUGACCACAGAGGCCAGUCGUUAACUGCAGCAACGAAAUUAAUAAUGUACCUUAUGUACCAGGGAACACGAGGCAGAAGUGGCUACUUUAUUUUAUACUAUAUCCUCAGGUUUCUUAAAGCAGUUAUCCAUUCUUUACAUAUCCGUAACCUAUCCUGUAGCUGGGCCUUUAAUAUCCGAUUGUGACAUUGAUGACUAGGGUUAAACGAAUCGGGUUCGGAUGGCUGUAUCCGAACCUGAUUAGUUUAAAACUUCAUUAAUGAUAUGGGCUCCGUCUUAGUGUAAAAUGUAUUGGGGUCUUUCUGAAGUUUCUGCAAAUAUUGCGAGACUUACUUCGUCUCGCCUCUAUCACGUUAGUUCUUCUUUCAAAAACU